UGGGAGAAUCUGUAAAGCUCAGGAGGGAUAGCACCUUGAUACUGAUGAUGCUAUACAUGUUCAUAGCAGUAUAUACUUGGCGCUAUCUAUCUUGAGCUUCAUGGCUUCUUCUU
rnacentral:pre_miRNA from 1 species